AUCAAAGUUUAUUUAUAGAAGGCCAACAACGCUUUGUCCUGUGUGCUAGAGUUUUCGAAGAGAAUCUGCUGAUCUUAAUUCAUGGGUAGGGGUCUUGGGUGUCUCUGUUAGUGACAAGAUCAGAAACAUGU
ensembl:snoRNA predicted gene, 25539